AAAGAAAGCGUAAUAGCUCACUGGUCGAGUCGGCCUGCGCGGAAGAUGUAACGGGGCUAAACCAUGCACCGAAGCUGCGGCAGCGACACUCAGGUGUUGUUGGGUAGGGGAGCGUUCUGUAAGCCUGCGAAGGUGGCCUGUGAGGGUUGCUGGAGGUAUCAGAAGUGCGAAUGCUGACAUAAGUAACGAUAAAGCGGGUGAAAAGCUCGCUCGCCGGAAGACCAA
rnacentral:rRNA from 1 species